GACUCUGAUGACAUUUCGGGUCCCUCUGGGGGUCCCCAGCUCUAUUUCAGGUCACUGUGAUGACAUUUCAGGUCCCUUUGGUCCCAUUUUGGGUCCCUGCGGUGUCCUCAAUUCCUUUUUGUGUCCCUUUGGCCUUAUUUUGAGUCCCUUUGCUCCCUCUGCCCCCAUCGGUGUGACGUUGGGUGACACUGGAUGACACCAGGUGAUACUGAGCGAUGCCAGGUGACACCAGGUGACCUUGGGUGACGUUGGGUAGCACCAGGAGAUGCUGGGUGACACCAGGUGAUGUUGGGUGAUGUUCUGCGACACCAGGUGCCACUGAUGCCAUCGAUGCCAUCUGCAGGGCACAGUGUGGCAGCUGGCAGAGGUGACACCAGGUGCCACCGAUGCCAUCGAUCCCGCAGGGCACAGCUGGCAGAGGUGACACCAGAUGUCACCAGGUGCCACCAAUGCCAUUGAUCCCACAGGGCGCAGCGCAGCAGCUGGCGGAGGUGACACCAGAUCUCACCAGGUGCCACUGAUGCCAUCGAUCCCGUAGGGCACAGCUGGCAGAGGUGAUCCUGGGUGCCACCAGGUGCCACCAAUGCCAUCGAUGCCAUCCCGCAGGGCGCGGCAGCUGGCG
rnacentral:lncRNA from 1 species